rnacentral:ncRNA from 1 species
AAUUAGGUUCCACCCAUGCAAAAACGGGUGGCCAAGAGGGAAUCACGUGCAAAUCGUGAGCUGUCGCGCAACUGUAAAUCACACCCAAGACUCCGCCGGCGUUACACCAUUGGACACAGUCAACGUCUGAGAAGGUGCCGGGAGGAGGGUGAAAGCCAGGAUACCUGCCUAUUUG